CUUAACACAUGCAAGUCGAACGAUGAAGCCCUUCGGGGUGGAUUAGUGGCGAACGGGUGAGUAACACGUGGGCAAUCUGCCCUGCACUCUGGGACAAGCCCUGGAAACGGGGUCUAAUACCGGAUAACACUCGCGUCCGCAUGGCCGGGGGUUGAAAGCUCCGGCGGUGCAGGAUGAGCCCGCGGCCUAUCAGCUUGUUGGUGAGGUAGUGGCUCACCAAGGCGACGACGGGUAGCCGGCCUGAGAGGGCGACCGGCCACACUGGGACUGAGACACGGCCCAGACUCCUACGGGAGGCAGCAGUGGGGAAUAUUGCACAAUGGGCGAAAGCCUGAUGCAGCGACGCCGCGUGAGGGAUGACGGCCUUCGGGUUGUAAACCUCUUUCAGCAGGGAAGAAGCGCAAGUGACGGUACCUGCAGAAGAAGCGCCGGCUAACUACGUGCCAGCAGCCGCGGUAAUACGUAGGGCGCAAGCGUUGUCCGGAAUUAUUGGGCGUAAAGAGCUCGUAGGCGGUCUGUCGCGUCGGAUGUGAAAGCCCGGGGCUUAACCCCGGGUCUGCAUUCGAUACGGGCAGACUAGAGUGUGGUAGGGGAGAUCGGAAUUCCUGGUGUAGCGGUGAAAUGCGCAGAUAUCAGGAGGAACACCGGUGGCGAAGGCGGAUCUCUGGGCCAUUACUGACGCUGAGGAGCGAAAGCGU
rnacentral:rRNA from 1 species